rnacentral:lncRNA from 1 species
GGAACAAAGGAAUUCUGAAAUGUAAUAUUUUUAACACUAGCUUCUUUCUGGGGUUUAAAAAUGAAUUUUGAUUUACAAUCUCUGAAGAAAAUAUAUAGAAAAUAGUUUCCAAAAUUAACACAUCAAUUAAACCAAAUGGAUGGUAAUAAUUGUGUGAAAAUAAUAAAUCUUUUAUAAAGAACAUUAUAGGAAAUAAAAUAUGGAUGUACCCUGUGACUUACAUAGGUGCUAUAUUAAUCACUGAGGUGUGAAUUAUAGAGGUGAAGAGUUUAUGCUUCUUUCCUUUGUGUUGAGCAUUCUGAUAAAUGAGAGUCUAAUGUGACAGGAAAAGAUAACAUAAUGAAUAUGUUAUUAUGCUUGAAGGAACAUGAAAAAAAAAAAAAAGUGACUGACACUGCAUUUUGUUCCAGGUGGGAGUAAAAAGCAAGCAGUUCCUGGCCCAUAAUACUCCAGUUUAGGAUGUCUGACUGAUGGCAUGCUGGCACCAACCUUGGAGGAAGUGAUGAGCUUCAGCUCCAGAACAAUGAUCAAGGACUUUCUUCAUGAGACUCUCUUCAUCAAACAGGAGAAUCUUUCUUGGAAGCAUCUAUGUUUCAAUUGUGAGUGAUUUGUCACCCCAACGGAUGUCUCCAGAGUGCCUCUGAGCAGUGUUCAUGCCUCCCUUCUCCUGUGGGGGUAUGGGAAUGUAAGUACGUGGCAAGAUAUGGGAUUUUCCAUUAGAACCUGAGAGUGCAUGGAGUGGAUGGGGCGGGUAAGCAACC